rnacentral:rRNA from 1 species
GAUGAACGCUAGCUACAGGCUUAACACAUGCAAGUCGAGGGGCAGCAUGGUCUUAGCUUGCUAAGGCCGAUGGCGACCGGCGCACGGGUGAGUAACACGUAUCCAACCUGCCGUCUACUCUUGGACAGCCUUCUGAAAGGAAGAUUAAUACAAGAUGGCAUCAUGAGUCCGCAUGUUCACAUGAUUAAAGGUAUUCCGGUAGACGAUGGGGAUGCGUUCCAUUAGAUAGUAGGCGGGGUAACGGCCCACCUAGUCUUCGAUGGAUAGGGGUUCUGAGAGGAAGGUCCCCCACAUUGGAACUGAGACACGGUCCAAACUCCUACGGGAGGCAGCAGUGAGGAAUAUUGGUCAAUGGGCGAGAGCCUGAACCAGCCAAGUAGCGUGAAGGAUGACUGCCCUAUGGGUUGUAAACUUCUUUUAUAAAGGAAUAAAGUCGGGUAUGCAUACCCGUUUGCAUGUACUUUAUGAAUAAGGAUCGGCUAACUCCGUGCCAGCAGCCGCGGUAAUACGGAGGAUCCGAGCGUUAUCCGGAUUUAUUGGGUUUAAAGGGAGCGUAGAUGGAUGUUUAAGUCAGUUGUGAAAGUUUGCGGCUCAACCGUAAAAUUGCAGUUGAUACUGGAUAUCUUGAGUGCAGUUGAGGCAGGCGGAAUUCGUGGUGUAGCGGUGAAAUGCUUAGAUAUCACGAAGAACUCCGAUUGCGAAGGCAGCCUGCUAAGCUGCAACUGACAUUGAGGCUCGAAAGUGUGGGUAUCAAACAGGAUUAGAUACCCUGGUAGUCCACACGGUAAACGAUGAAUACUCGCUGUUUGCGAUAUACAGCAAGCGGCCAAGCGAAAGCGUUAAGUAUUCCACCUGGGGAGUACGCCGGCAACGGUGAAACUCAAAGGAAUUGACGGGGGCCCGCACAAGCGGAGGAACAUGUGGUUUAAUUCGAUGAUACGCGAGGAACCUUACCCGGGCUUAAAUUGCAGAUGAAUUACGGUGAAAGCCGUAAGCCGCAAGGCAUCUGUGAAGGUGCUGCAUGGUUGUCGUCAGCUCGUGCCGUGAGGUGUCGGCUUAAGUGCCAUAACGAGCGCAACCCUUGUUGUCAGUUACUAACAGGUUCCGCUGAGGACUCUGACAAGACUGCCAUCGUAAGAUGUGAGGAAGGUGGGGAUGACGUCAAAUCAGCACGGCCCUUACGUCCGGGGCUACACACGUGUUACAAUGGGGGGUACAGAGGGCCGCUACCACGCGAGUGGAUGCCAAUCCCCAAAACCUCUCUCAGUUCGGACUGGAGUCUGCAACCCGACUCCACGAAGCUGGAUUCGCUAGUAAUCGCGCAUCAGCCACGGCGCGGUGAAUACGUUCCCGGGCCUUGUACACACCGCCCGUCAAGCCAUGGGAGCCG